rnacentral:rRNA from 1 species
UACGUAGGGUGCAAGCGUUGUCCGGAAUUAUUGGGCGUAAAGAGCUCGUAGGCGGUUUGUUGCGUCGGCUGUGAAAUCCCGAGGCUCAACCUCGGGUCUGCAGUCGAUACGAGCAAACUAGAGUGUUGCAGGGGAGACUGGAAUUCCUGGUGUAGCGGUGAAAUGCGCAGAUAUCAGGAGGAACACCGAUGGCGAAGGCAGGUCUCUGGGCCACUACUGACGCUG